AAUCAACGCUGGCGGCGUGCCUAACACAUGCAAGUCGAACGCGAAAGCCCCGCAAAGGGGUAAGUAGAGUGGCAAACGGGUGAGUAACACGUGGGUGACCUGCCUUAGAGUGGGGGAUAACGUCCCGAAAGGGACGCUAAUACCGCAUAACAUCCUGCCUUUUGAAGAGGUGGAGAUCAAAGCCGGGGACCGCAAGGCCUGGCGCUCAAAGAGGGGCCCGCGCCUGAUUAGCUAGUUGGUGAGGAACGGCCCACCAAGGCGACGAUCAGUAUCCGGCCUGAGAGGGCGGACGGACACACUGGGACUGAGACACGGCCCAGACUCCUACGGGAGGCAGCAGUGGGGAAUUGUUCGCAAUGGGCGCAAGCCUGACGAACGCAACGCCGCGUGGAGGAUGAAGGUC
rnacentral:rRNA from 1 species